rnacentral:rRNA from 1 species
AGAGUUUGAUCAUGGCUCAGAAUCAACGCUGGCGGCGUGCCUAACACAUGCAAGUCGAACGAGAAAGUGGAGCAAUCCAUGAGUAAAGUGGCGCACGGGUGAGUAACACGUGACUAACCUACCUUUUCGUGGGGGAUAACCUAGGGAAACCUGGGCUAAUACCGCAUAAUACCUACGGGUCAAAGCAGCAAUGCGCGGAUUGAGGGGGUCGCGGUCGAUUAGUUAGUUGGCAGGGUAAUGGCCUACCAAGACUGUGAUCGAUAUCCGGCCUGAGAGGGCGCACGGACACACUGGAACUGAAACACGGUCCAGACUCCUACGGGAGGCAGCAGUGGGGAGUUUUGCGCAAUGGGGGAAACCCUGACGCAGCAACGCCGCGUGGAGGAUGAAGUCCCUUGGGACGUAAACUCCUUUCGAUCGGGACGAUUAUGACGGUACCGGAAGAAGAAGCCCCGGCUAACUUCGUGCCAGCAGCCGCGGUAAUACGAGGGGGGCAAGCGUUGUUCGGAAUUAUUGGGCGUAAAGGGUGCGUAGGUGGUUCGGCAAGUCUUGUGUGAAAUCUUCAGGCUCAACUUGAAGUCUGCACAAGAAACUGCCGGGCUUGAGUGUGGGAGAGGUGAGUGGAAUUUCCGGUGUAGCGGUGAAAUGCGUAGAUAUCGGAAGGAACACCUGUGGCGAAAGCGGCUCACUGGACCAUUACUGACACUGAGGCACGAAAGCUAGGGGAGCAAACAGGAUUAGAUACCCUGGUAGUCCUAGCCCUAAACGAUGAUCGCUUGGUGUGGCGGGUAUCCAACCCUGCCGUGCCGCAGCUAACGCGUUAAGCGAUCCGCCUGGGGAGUACGGUCGCAAGGCUGAACUCAAAGGAAUUGACGGGGGCCCGCACAAGCGGUGGAGCAUGUGGUUUAAUUCGACGCAACGCGAAGAACCUUACCUGGGCUCGAAAUGUAGUGGACUGGGGUAGAAAUUUCCCUUCCUA